AGUGAACGCUGGCGGUAGGCCUAACACAUGCAAGUCGAACGGCAGCACAGUAAGAGCUUGCUCUUACGGGUGGCGAGUGGCGGACGGGUGAGGAAUACACCGGAAUCUACUUUUUCGUGGGGGAUAACGUAGGGGAACUUACGCUAAUACCGCAUACGACCUACGGGUGAAAGCAGGGGAUCUUCGGACCUUGCGCGAUUGAAUGAGCCGAUGUCGGAUUAGCUAGUUGGCGGGGUAAAGGCCCACCAAGGCGACGAUCCGUAGCUGGUCUGAGAGGAUGAUCAGCCACACUGGAACUGAGACACGGUCCAGACUCCUACGGGAGGCAGCAGUGGGGAAUAUUGGACAAUGGGCGCAAGCCUGAUCCAGCUAUACCGCGUGGGUGAAGAAGGCCUUCGGGUUGUAAAGCCCUUUUGUUGGGAAAGAAAAGCAGCAGGUUAAUACCCCGCUGUUCUGACGGUACCCAAAGAAUAAGCACCGGCUAACUUCGUG
rnacentral:rRNA from 1 species